GGCUGCUUUUCCAAAGUUUAAAAAAUCAAGGUUUUCCAUGUGUAUAGAUAAAUUUCUAAAAUAAACAAUUUUUUUUUUUUUUAGAGUUAAUCUCCACUUUUAACAACACUUGCUUAAAAUGUCCAACAGUUUUUGCAGUUUCUCUGCAUCAGGUGCAAUCAAUGCAAUGCCAUCAGUGUAUAAUUACAUAGAAACCAUUAUG
rnacentral:lncRNA from 1 species